rnacentral:rRNA from 1 species
UACGUAGGGGGCAAGCGUUGUCCGGAUUUAUUGGGCGUAAAGCGCUCGCAGGUGGUUCGUCGCGUCGUGCGUGAAAGACCCCGGCUCAACUGGGGAGGGUCGUGCGAUACGGGCGGACUGGAGGCCAGUAGGGGGAUGCGGAAUUCCGGGUGUAGUGGUGGAAUGCGUAGAGAUCCGGAGGAACACCAGCGGCGAAGGCGGCAUCCUGGACUGGUCCUGACACUCAGGAGCGAAAGCGCUGGGAGCGAGUCCGG